UCGUUGGAGAGUUUGAUCCUGGCUCAGGACGAACGCUGGCGGCGUGCCUAAUGCAUGCAAGUCGAGCGACGCGCACCUUCGGGUGUGACGGAGCGGCGAACGGGUGAGUAACACGUGAGCAACCUGCCCUGAAGACCGGAAUAGCCCGGGGAAACCCGGAGUAAUGCCGGAUACACUCCCGGUACCGCAUGGUAUGGGAGAAAAUGCUUUAGCGCUUCAGGAUGGGCUCACGGCCUAUCAGCUAGUUGGUGAGGUAACGGCUCACCAAGGCGACGACGGGUAGCUGGUCUGAGAGGACGAUCAGCCACACUGGGACUGAGACACGGC
rnacentral:rRNA from 1 species